rnacentral:rRNA from 1 species
UACGGAGGGUGCGAGCGUUGUCCGGAAUCACUGGGCGUGAAGGGCGCGUAGGCGGCCUGAUAAGUAGGGGGUGAAAUCCUGCGGCUUAACCGCAGGGCUGCCUUCUAAACUGUCAGGCUUGAGCACAGUAGAGGCAGGUGGAAUUCCCGGUGUAGCGGUGGAAUGCGUAGAGAUCGGGAAGAACAUCAGUGGCGAAGGCGGCCUGCUGGGCUGUUGCUGACGCUGAGGCGCGACAGCGUGGGGAGCAAACAGG